GGGGGGCGCAAGCGUUGUUCGGAAUUACUGGGCGUAAAGCGCGGGUAGGCGGUCGGGCAAGUCGGAUGUGAAAGCCCCCGGGCUCAACUCGGGAAUUGCAUCCGAAACUGCUCGGCUAGAGUCCCGGAGAGGAAGGCGGAACUCCCAGUGUAGGGGUGAAAUCCGUAGAUAUUGGGAAGAACACCGGCGGCGAAGGCGGCCUUCUGGACGGUGACUGACGCUGAGACGCGAAAGCGUGGGGAGCAAACAGGAUUAGAUACCCUGGUAGUCCACGCCGUAAACGUUGCGCACUAGGCGUCGGGGGUAUUCACCCCCUCCCGGUGCCCGACGCUAACGCAUUAAGUGCGCCGCCUGGGGAGUACGGCCGCAAGGCUA
rnacentral:rRNA from 1 species